rnacentral:rRNA from 1 species
AUUGAACGCUGGCGGCAGGCCUAACACAUGCAAGUCGAACGGCAGCACGGGGCAACCUGGUGGCGAGUGGCGAACGGGUGAGUAAUGCAUCGGAACGUACCUUUCAGUGGGGGAUAACGUAGCGAAAGUUACGCUAAUACCGCAUAUUCUGUGAGCAGGAAAGCAGGGGAUCGCAAGACCUUGCGCUGAUUGAGCGGCCGAUGUCAGAUUAGCUAGUUGGUGAGGUAAAGGCUCACCAAGGCGACGAUCUGUAGCGGGUCUGAGAGGAUGAUCCGCCACACUGGAACUGAGACACGGUCCAGACUCCUACGGGAGGCAGCAGUGGGGAAUUUUGGACAAUGGGGGCAACCCUGAUCCAGCCAUGCCGCGUGAGUGAAGAAGGCCUUCGGGUUGUAAAGCUCUUUCGGCCGGGAAGAAAUCGUAUCAGCUAAUACCUGGUGCGGAUGACGGUACCGGCAUAAGAAGCACCGGCUAACUACGUGCCAGCAGCCGCAGUAACAC